rnacentral:rRNA from 1 species
CACAUCAUGGGAGUCGCUUGUACCCGAAGUGUCUGUGCCAAUCCGCGCAAGCGGAAGGCAGGGCCCUAAGGUAUGAGCGGUAACUGGGAUG